CCAAUAGCGUAUAUUAAAGUUGUUGCAGUUAAAAAGCUCGUAGUUGAAUUUUGGAUUCUGCCAGUUGGUCCAUCUUUUGAUGAGUACUGGUUGUGCGGGGUCUAUCCGCCUGGGGAUACGUAAUGUACUUUAUUGUAUGUUGCGGGUAGCCAGGACCUUUACCUUGAAAAAAUUAGAGUGUUUAAAGCAGGCUUAUGCCGGAAUACAUUAGCAUGGAAUAAUAGAAUAGGACGAUGUUGUUUUAUUUUGUUGGUUUCUAGGACAACCGUAAUGAUUAAUAGGGAUAGUUGGGGGCAUUAGUAUUCAAUUGUCAGAGGUGAAAUUCUUGGAUUUAUUGAAGACUAACUACUGCGAAAGCAUUUGCCAAGGAUGUUUUCAUUAAUCAAGAACGAAAGUUAGGGGAUCGAAGACGAUCAGAUACCGUCGUAGUCUUAACCAUAAACUAUGCCGACUAGGGAUCGGGCGAUGUUGUUUCCAUGACUCGCUCGGCACCUUAUG
rnacentral:rRNA from 1 species